rnacentral:miRNA from 1 species
GUUUGUAUGGAAUUCCAUGAG